rnacentral:rRNA from 1 species
CCUACGGGUGGCAGCAGUAGGGAAUCUUCCACAAUGGGCGAAAGCCUGAUGGAGCAACGCCGCGUGGGUGAAGAAGGUCUUCGGAUCGUAAAACCCUGUUGUUAGAGAAGAAAGUGAGUGAGAGUAACUGUUAACGUUUCGCCGGUAUCUAACCAGAAAGCCACGGCUAACUAAGUGACAGCAGCCGCGGUAAUUCGGAGGAUGCGAACGUUAGCCGGAUUUAUUGGGGUUAAAGGGUGCGCAGGCGCAGGUGCAAGUCAGUGGUCAAAUGGCGGGGCUCAACCCCGUACUGCCGUUGAAACUGCAUACCUUGAGUGCGCGAGAAGUAUGCGGAAUGCGUGGUGUAGCGGUGAAAUGCAUAGAUAUCACGCAGAACUCCGAUUGCGAAGGCAGCAUACCGGCGCGCAACUGACGCUCAUGCACGAAAGCGUGGGUAUCGAACAGGAUUAGAUACCCCAGUAGUC